UACGGGGGGGGCAAGCGUUGUUCGGAAUUACUGGGCGUAAAGGGCUCGUAGGCGGCCAACUAAGUCAUACGUGAAAUCCCUCGGCUUAACCGGGGAACUGCGUCUGAUACUGGAUGGCUUGAGAUUGGGAGAGGGAUGCGGAAUUCCAGGUGUAGCGGUGAAAUGCGUAGAUAUCUGGAGGAACACCGGUGGCGAAGGCGGCAUCCUGGACCAACACUGACGCUCAUGUGCGAAAGCGUGGGGAGCAAACAGG
rnacentral:rRNA from 1 species